AGAGUGUGCUCGGAGCAAGGGGCCUGAAGAAUGUUCCUCUGUUUACAACAACCCAACUGGGGUCUUUGUAAGGAAGGGCACAGAACUUAUGGCUUCCCUACCAGCAAAUGCCCCACAUGU